GACUUCAUUGUCGAGUGGUAAGGACACUUGCCUGUCAUCCUGGAGUCCGGUUUCAAACCCCGGCUGAGGAUCU